rnacentral:rRNA from 1 species
GAUGAACGCUGGCGGCGUGCCUAAUACAUGCAAGUCGAGCGAACAGACGAGGAGCUUGCUCCUCUGACGUUAGCGGCGGACGGGUGAGUAACACGUGGAUAACCUACCUAUAAGACUGGGAUAACUUCGGGAAACCGGAGCUAACACCGGAUAAUAUAUUGAACCGCAUGGUUCAAUAGUGAAAGACGGUUUUGCUGUCACUAAUAGAUGGAUCCGCGCCGCAUUAGCUAGUUGGUAAGGUAACGGCUUACCAAGGCGACGAUGCGUAGCCGACCUGAGAGGGUGAUCGGCCACACUGGAACUGAGACACGGUCCAGACUCCUACGGGAGGCAGCAGUAGGGAAUCUUCCGCAAUGGGCGAAAGCCUGACGGAGCCACGCCGCGUGAGUGAUGAAGGUCUUCGGAUCGUAAAGCUCUGUUAUUAGGGAAGAACGGAUGUGUAAGUAGCUAUGCACGUCUUGACGGUACCUACUCAGAAAGCCACGGCUAACUACGUG